rnacentral:piRNA from 1 species
UUCGUAUCUUGCGCUUUCACU